rnacentral:rRNA from 1 species
UACGUAGGAGGCAAGCGUUGUCCGGAUUUACUGGGCGUAAAGAGCGUGUAGGCGGCAUGGUCAGUCUGCUGUGAAAGCUCUCGGCUUAACCGGGAGAGGUCGGUGGAAACUGCCAGGCUUGAGGACGGUAGAGGGGGGUGGAAUUCCCGGUGUAGUGGUGAAAUGCGUAGAUAUCGGGAGGAACACCGGUGGCGAAGGCGGGUCUCUGGGCAACAACUGACGCUGAGGAGCGAAAGCGUGGGGAGCGAACAGG